CAAUAGCGUAUAUUAAAGUUGUUGCAGUUAAAAGCUCGUAGUUGGAGUUCAGAGUGAGCUCGUCCGGUCGGCCUUAUGGGUCAGAACUGGUUGACUCUCUCUUGUUUGUGGAUCCUGUCAGCAGUUAACUCUGUUGAUGUGGAGUCCACAUCGUUUACCUUGAAAAAUUAGAGUGUUCAAAGCAGGCGUUUGCUUGAAUAUAUUAGCAUGGAAUAAUGGAAUAGGACGCUGGUUCUAUUUUGUUGGUUUUGAGAACCAGAGUAAUGAUUAAUAGGGACAGUUGGGGGCGAUUCAUAUUUCUAUUGUUCAGAGGUGGAAAUUACUUUGGUAUUUAUUGAAAGAAUGAACUUCUUGCGAAAGACAUUUGUCCAAGGAUGUUUUCUAUUAAUCAAGAACGAAAGUUAAGGGGAGUCGAAGACGAUCAGAUACCAU
rnacentral:rRNA from 1 species